rnacentral:rRNA from 1 species
UACGAAGGGGGCUAGCGUUGUUCGGAAUCACUGGGCUUAAAGGGCGCGUAGGCGGCUUGCCAAGUCAGGGGUGAAAUCCUGCAGCUUAACUGUAGAAGGGCCUUUGAUACUGGCGAGCUCGAGGGAGGUAGGGGUAUGUGGAACUUCCGGUGGAGCGGUGAAAUGCGUUGAUAUCGGAAGGAACGCCGGUGGCGAAAGCGACGUACUGGACCUCUUCUGACGCUGAGGCGCGAAAGCUAGGGGAGCAAACGGG